GUGGGGCGUGGUGUCGCACACCUGUAAUCCCAGCGGCUUGGGAGGCUGAGACAGGAGGAUCGUGAGUUCAAAACCAGCUUCAGCAACUGAGCAAGGCACUAAGCAACACAGUGAGACCCUGUCUCUA
rnacentral:sRNA from 1 species